GAAGUCCUGCCUGGUUAGUUUUGCAGAAAGUUGUGAGAGUUGUUGAGCAAUGUUGGAGCCACCGAUUUGGGGCUCAGAGUGCAGGGCCCUCCUGUUGCACAGCUGCAGGACCAUUAUUCACACGUGGCACCCCUGAGUCUGUGCACUGUACAGUCCUGUGGAGCAAGGUUCUUCACCAGGAAGUUGAUACCUCACCCUGCUGCUGCCCAGCUUGCUGAUUCUGCUCCCACAGGCACCAUUGGAAUCUUUUGGAGUUCACCUGGCUAGGGGAGAGGACGUUGUGAAAUUCUGGAAUUGCUGCAGAAACUUGAAGACAUGGAAAAUGCAAACUCCUUACUUGGUCUGUCCUGUCUCCUGCCAAUGUGGUCUGACAGGGCCUGUGGGUGUACUGAUGCCAGAUAUGA